AUUGAACGCUGGCGGCAGGCUUAACACAUGCAAGUCGAGCGGGGGAAGGUAGCUUGCUACCGGACCUAGCGGCGGACGGGUGAGUAAUGCUUAGGAAUCUGCCUAUUAGUGGGGGACAACAUCUCGAAAGGGAUGCUAAUACCGCAUACGUCCUACGGGAGAAAGCAGGGGAUCUUCGGACCUUGCGCUAAUAGAUGAGCCUAAGUCGGAUUAGCUAGUUGGUGGGGUAAAGGCCUACCAAGGCGACGAUCUGUAGCGGGUCUGAGAGGAUGAUCCGCCACACUGGGACUGGGACACGGCCCAGACUCCUACGGGAGGCAGCAGUGGGGAAUAUUGGACAAUGGGGGGAACCCUGAUCCAGCCAUGCCGCGGGUGUGAAGAAGGCCUUAUGGUUGUAAAGCACGUUAAGCGAGGAGGAGGCUACUUUAGUUAAUACCUAGAGAUAGUGGACGUUACUCGCAGAAUAAGCACCGGCUAACUCUGUG
rnacentral:rRNA from 1 species